CAGUCGCCGCGGGAAUACGAAGGGUGCAAGCGUUACUCGGAAUUACUGGGCGUAAAGCGUGCGUAGGUGGUGGUUUAAGUCCGUUGUGAAAGCCCUGGGCUCAACCUGGGAAUUGCAGUGGAUACUGGGUCACUAGAGUGUGGUAGAGGAUAGUGGAAUUUCCGGUGUAGCAGUGAAAUGCGUAGAUAUGCGGAGGAACACCGAUGGCGAAGGCAGCCCCCUGGGCCAACACUGACGCUCAUGCACGAAAGCGUGGGGAGCAAACAGGAUUAGAGACCCCGGUAGUCCCUGUCUCUUAUAC
rnacentral:rRNA from 1 species